UAUAUGUAAAUAUAGAAAUUUCAAGGACUAAACUGCUAAGUUACAAAAUGAAAAGAAAAUAAAGAAAACCAAAAAUUUCGGUUUUAUCCCACCGCCUCCCACGUCUCUCUCUGUUCUUAACAGAGAGAGAAGCGGUGGGGCGUGGGGAGAAGAAGAAGAGAAGUUGAGGGAGAAGAGAAGAAAAGAAGAGGAAGAGGGAAAAGAAGAGAUUAGGAAGAAGUGGGAGAAGAGAAGAAAAGAAGAAGAAGAAGAAGAAAAGAGGGAAGAUNNN
rnacentral:lncRNA from 1 species